GCCCCCAUCGUCCAGGGGACUAGGACGCCACCCUUUCAAGGUGGAAACCGGGGUUCGAAUCCCCGUGGGGGCACCA
rnacentral:tRNA from 1 species